rnacentral:rRNA from 1 species
AUGGUUGUAAUAAAAACAAGUACAGUUCAUCUAGCAGCAUACUACCAAAUACAUUCUGCUAAGAAGUUCAAAUCAAAAUCAAUAGAUGCAGCUAAAAGCAUGAGAUCUGCUACUUUGGAUAGCUUACAGGAUUCUGGAGAAGGCCUCCCUGUUCUCGUUGAGCGUCCACUGAUCUUCUGCGCCAGAGGCGUAGUAGUGGUACACCAUCUUCGGCAGCUUCUCGUACUCGGACACAUUCAUGAUUAUACCCAUGCCCCUGAUCGAACAAUUCAUUGUCAGUUAGCAGUUCAUCUGUCUGCCAAGCAGUGA